GACAUUUAUGGAAAAUAGUAAGGUAAGGUAGGUACGUCGUGGAAUGGAAGGAAAACAAAUCAAAAAGUCAGAAAAUUUUGAUUCGCCGUGGUUUAUUUUAUUGCAUAGAAGUGAUUUUUUUAAAUCAAAUUUAAGUACAUCUCAAUUAUGCCAGAAGACAAGAAAAAUCAACAAAAGGGAAAAAGUAAUGCAAAGGAGCAAAGAAAGUCGCGUCAGGGCAGGCAGAAAUCUGGACCGACUAAAAUACCAGACCCUUCCUCUAUCGAAAAUAAAACUGAAGCACCAAAAGUAGCACAAGAACCUUUAUAUGAAGAUCCCAGACCAGAGCUCUACAAGAACCUUAAGAGAGAAACUGAUGAAAUACUAAAAAUAACAGAGGAAGCUAACUCUAAAUAUAAGAAGAAAGAAAUUCAAAGCAACUGGAGCAAAUAUGAAAUCCCAGUGGAGAGCUAUGAUGACAUUCAGGAGCAGGAGAACAUGGGUGCCGAUUAUGAGAAAUUAAUUCAAAUGCCUAUGUCAGUUGGUGGGCACUUCCAAUUCAAACAUGAAAAAUCUUGGGACAUUGGCACAGGACCAUCCAUAUAUGAUAAGUACUUUGAAAUAAAUAUGAAUGAUCUUGCCACUGCAUUAUGUACAAUACCUUUCUAUGAAAGAAAUGACAUAGACAGAGAUAUCUUUAGUGAAACUGAUAUAUUAACUAUGGACAGCAGAGCUGUUAAAUAUAAACAAAAAUAUUAUAAUGAUAAAUCUUAUACAACUCCUGAAUUGGAAGCAAGAGACAAAAUAUCAAAUAGUUUAAAAGAUUCAUUCAGCAAAACUCAACCAGGUGACAUUGUCUGCAAAAAUUUAGAUUCUGCAGAGAAAAAUAAUGAUGAUACAGCAGAUGAAACUCCUGCUGCCCUCUCUGUAAAAGACAAUGAUGAAAUAGAUUUCAAAUUAGAAAACAACAAAAAUGUUAUUGAUACUGAUAUUAACAAUGACAUGCAAGCAGUUUGUCAAAGCCAAAAAGUGGUAGAUGUAAUGAAUGAAAUUGAAGAUCUAAUCCUAGAACAUAGCAACUCACUGGUUCAAGACGAAACACCAGCUCCUAAAGCUCAAAACAAUAUCAUUAGAAAUGAUAAGUUAAUAGUAAAAGAAACAUGCGACAAGGCCAUGCCUUCGAAACCAGAGGAAUCGAAAAAUCCAGUUAUAGAAUCUCCUGAAGACCUUGAGAAAUGGCUUGACGAUUUCUUAGAUGGUUGAUGUUAACUUGCAUGUGCUCAUCGUCAGCGCCUUCACUCUGCAACAAGUUGCUUCCACUCCGCAAAUUCUUCCUGUAUUCUCGAUAUGUCGAUCCUUACUGCUUAAUCUCAUUCGACGCCUUACUGCUUGCACAACACUUAACACAUGGACUCAACCAAGCCAGAUUUGAAAUAUCGUAAGGCUCCAUGGCUCGGGAACAUGCUCCACUCACGAGGACUAUCUUCAACCUGCAACAGCUUCGUCGAUCUUAUCUUGGAUGUUGGGAUUUUUUUCAUUUACCGCGUCGCGGUGCUGCAGAUGCAUGUUACAUUGAGGUCUUCAAUAAGAGCUCCCUGAAUGACCACAUCAUAUGGAAUGUAAAAUACAGUGUGUAAUGUAUAUUUUUUGAAGACUUGGAAAUGAGAGAGCCAAUGUUCUUGAGAUAUAGAAGAAGAGUUGGGCGAACUUUUGUAACAACAUGAUUCAUAUUUUUCACAAACGGCCCUUUAAAUUUAUAGUAAAAUAGUUAUGUAAUCAUUGUAAAAUAAUAAUCAAUUACUAAUAUAGUCCGAUUACAUU